rnacentral:rRNA from 1 species
UACAGAGGUCCCAAGCGUUGUUCGGAUUCACUGGGCGUAAAGGGUGCGCAGGUGGGUUUGCAAGUUCGAUGUGAAAGCCCCGGGCUUAACCCGGGAAUGGCAUUGGAUACUGCAGAUCUGGAGGAUCGGAGGGGGGACUGGAAUUCUUGGUGUAGCAGUGAAAUGCGUAGAGAUGUGGAGGAACACCGAUGGCGAAGGCAGCCUCCUGGGCCAGCACUGACGCCCAUGUACGAAAGCGUGGGGAGCAAACAGG